AUUCCAGCUCCAAUAGCGUAUAUUAAAGUUGUUGCGGUUAAAAAGCUCGUAGUUGGAUUUCUGCCGAGGAUGACCGGUCCGCCCUGUGGGUGUGCAUCUGGCUCAGCCUUGGCAUCUUCCUGAAGAACGUAGCUGCACUUGACUGUGUGGUGCGGUAUUUAGGACAUUUACUUUGAGGAAAUUAGAGUGUUUCAAGCAAGCGCACGCUUUGAAUACAUUAGCAUGGAAUAAUAAGAUAGGACCUCGGUUCUAUUUUGUUAGUUUUCGGAAAUCGAGUUAAUGAUUAACAGGGACAAUUGGGGGCAUUAGUAUUCAGACGACAGAGGUGAAAUUCUUGGACCGUCUGAAGACUGACUACUGCGAAAGCAUUUGCCAAGAGUGUUUUCAUUA
rnacentral:rRNA from 1 species